UAAUACGGAGGAUGCAAGCGUUAUCCGGAUUUAUUGGGUUUAAAGGGUGCGUAGGCGGGAGAUUAAGUCAGUGGUGAAAUCCUGCAGCUCAACUGUAGAACUGCCAUUGAUACUGGUUUCCUUGAGUGUAGCUGAAGUGGGCGGAAUGUGUAUUGUAGCGGUGAAAUGCUUAGAUAUUACACAGAACACCUAUUGCGAAGGCAGCUCACUAAACUAAUACUGACGCUGAGGCACGAAAGCGUGGGGAGCAAACAGGAUUAGAUACCCUGGUAGUCCACGCCGUAAACGUUGAUUACUCGAUGUGUGCGAUACACUGUACGCGUCUGAGCGAAAGCAUUAAGUAAUCCACCUGGGGAGUACGGUCGCAAGAUUG
rnacentral:rRNA from 1 species